rnacentral:rRNA from 1 species
UACAGAGGUCUCAAGCGUUGUUCGGAUUCAUUGGGCGUAAAGGGUGUGUAGGUGGCGCCGUAAGUCGGGUGUGAAAUUUCGGAGCUUAACUCCGAAACUGCAUUCGAUACUCCGGUGCUUGAGGACUGGAGAGGAGACUGGAAUUCAUGGUGUAGCAGUGAAAUGCGUAGAGAUCAUGAGGAAGACCAGUGGCGAAGGCGGGUCUCUGGACAGUUCCUGACACUGAGACACGAAGGCCAGGGGAGCAAACGGG